CAAUUACGAUGAUGGUCAAAGCUCACAGGAUUGCAGGUUUUUUGGCCUGCAAUUUCUAGGGUUU
rnacentral:sRNA from 1 species